rnacentral:rRNA from 1 species
GACGAACGCUGGCGGCGUGCUUAACACAUGCAAGUCGAACGAGUGGCGAACGGGUGAGUAACGCGUAUCAACCUGCCCUUCAGCGGGGGACAACAGUUGGAAACGACUGCUAAUACCGCAUAUCAUUCGAUGGCCUUGCGGUGCAUUAGCUCGUUGGUGGGGUAACGGCCUACCAAGGCAAUGAUGCAUAGCCGACCUGAGAGGGUAAUCGGCCACACUGGAACUGAGACACGGUCCAGACUCCUACGGGAGGCAGCAGUGGGGAAUAUGGCACAAUGGGCGCAAGCCUGAUGCAGCCAUGCCGCGUGUAUGAAGAAGGCCUUCGGGUUGUAAAGUACUUUCAGCGAGGAGGCGUUACUCGCAGAAGAAGCACCGGCUAACUCCGUGCCAGCAGCCGCGGUAAUAC